GGGCCUGUAGCUCAGCUGGCUAGAGCACCACGUUUACACCGUGGGAGUCGUCGGUUCGAAUCCGGCCAGGCCCA
rnacentral:tRNA from 1 species